ACACAACAGAGCUCCUAGGUCAGUGCUGGCACCACAGGCAGAUCAGCUGAAGAAGAUAACACUUUUCCCAUGUUUCCCUGCUGGUUUCUUACGGCCUUGCUGGCCCAUGUAGGCUGGGCUCUUCAGCAAACCCCAGACAUGAUUGUCCGACUGGGAGACUCUCUGACUCUGAACUGCUCACACAAAGAGAGUGGAUUCUGGACCAUGUUCUGGUACAAGCUGCCAGUGGGGAAGAACGCCACUUUGCAGCUGAUUGUUCGUUCAGUGGAAGGUAACAAAGCAGAGUUUGAGGAAGAAUUCAAAAGCCGCUUCCAAAGCAGUGGGACUAAGGGGAACUCCUUAUCAAUGGCGAUAGAUCACGUCCUACUCAAUGACUCAGGCACUUAUUUCUGCGCUAAGCAAGAUACACUGUGACACGAAGGCUGGAGCAGCACAACGCAAACCUCUCUCCAUACAAGUGGAGACCUGACCCCUGAACACACAGUCCACUGUGUACCAGUAGAACUAUUUUUCCACUUUUGACCUCCAGCUCUGUCCACUUAAGUAGUGGUUUCCUCUCUGUGUCUUCUGCUUGUUCUCUGCUUUUUUCCCCUUUCCACCUCUGAACAAAUUCUGAUCCUACUUUUGAUACCAACUGUAAUGCUAUUGU